UGUGCUGGUGGGAGAGUCCGGCGAGAAGCACUCUACAGAGACUCCUUCCAAUAACCAGCAGGCCUUGUUGUGAUGAGGACUUCCUUCAUCGUUCCUUCAGGUGAUUGCUGAUUGGAUGAUGUACAAAUUGUGCUGGGUGGUCUCAGUCCAGGUUUGCUCAGUGUCUGCUAUAAUUCAAAAGAAUGUUAUAUACCUGUUGUACGCGAUGACAUCACGGAUCACAGGACAGUGUGUGUGUGUGUGUGUGUGUGUGUGUGUGUGUGUGUGUGCGUGCGUGUGCGCCUUUGAUCCUUCUGGUCCUUGCAUCAUCGGGGGUUGUGUGAUAAGAUUUCAAUUAACGACUGUCACGAAUUGAAACGAUCAUUUGAACUGUACGAAAAUAUCGUUCUUUUUUAUUUAUUUUUUUAAUCAGCCAAUCACUAGCCACCUAUAUGCAUGAUGCCACAGAGGAUAUAUUCAUGAAUGCAUAUCUGUUUGUUUUUUGAUGUUUUUUUGUAAUGUGGAUCACAGACUCCGGUGGAAUGAAGGAUGGAGCACAUGGGAUUUUUCUCGCAGAGGGGAGGGUCUGUUUGCACAUCACAAGAAGAAAAACAAAGAACGAAGGGUGCGACAAAAAGACCUAUGCGGAUAUAAACACGGCGAUGCGCGGCGACGAGUGACUCUUGGCAGGAGUGCAAAAAGUUGCAUUGAGUGGAACAGCCCGAAGCUGCAGGAUGGAGGCGCCGUGGCACCUGAGCAAGGCGACGGGGACUGUUGGAUUCAUGAGGAGGCCUCCGAGGAUGAGGGGGAGGCGGCGAUGAGCAGCGGCAGCAGCAGCGGCUGGAUGUCGGCCUCUCCCUCUUUUUGCCUUGUCUCCCUGUGUUGAGUUUGAGCCCCCGGGUCUGAGCGAGACCAGGCCUGCCCAUGCUCCGUGGCCCCGGGGUUUCAGGCCGGCUUGUUGAAAUCCCGCGCGCUCUGGCACGUUAUCACAGGCCCGGGCGGAAUGGGCCGCCUGCUCAUCAGUGAUGCAACACCCCCCCCACCACCACCACCACCACUGCACCUCCCCGAGCCUCCAGUCCCACUCCUGGGGAAACACAGCACCAACUGAAGACUUUGCUCAACAACCCCCCACCCCACCACCCGACACCUGAAGCUUUGUGAUAGUCAUACUUUUCCCUUACUUUAUGCACUUAGACAUUGCCCCCCUCCCCACACACACACGAACACACACACACACACACACACACACACACACACACACCGGCUCCCCUCCCUCACUCGGUUGUUCCUGCUGAGUCGUAAUACUAACGCUGCCUCCGAGCGCAUGACUUCUCCAGGUGAUGUUAUCGUUUUGAUAUAUUGACUACAAGCACUUUUGCCAUUGGUUGCGAUGUCGUCGUAGCUCCUGACAGCUCUGCCACUGUCUGAAGUACUUGCGGCAUUAGACUUUUUUACUUUUUCCUUGCCCUACGCCUCGCCUACAAUGCGUUCACUGUACUCACCUUAUUUGCUCCUUCCGUUCCCCCCCGGUGAUUCCCCGCGAAAUCAAACCGCAAGAAAAGUGUUCGGCCGUCUUCGGGAGUGACUGGAGGUUGAACUGGACGUGGUGCCGUCCGUGUCCUCUCUGACUUUUUUCUCUACCUGAUGCAGGUAUUUGGUGUUUUUUUAGAGGACGGCACCAGCCAAUGGGAGGCCAACCCCCCUUGAGAAAGGACCACCCAUCUCUUCGGUCAUAAGAAGCCGCCACACCCUGCCAUGUGGCUCGGCUCGAUUCCUUAAAGAGUUACGGGGGGGGGGACAAAGAACUGGAAUCAAAGGAAAAGGUGUAUUCCACAAAACCCGCCGUGCUCGUGCAACAAUAUUAAUAAAAAUCCUAUUAGACGCAACAUAUUAUCCACUCGCAAAAAAAAAAGAGGACUCCAAGAAAAGUCAUAAGCUCACAAAUGGAAUGAAGGAGUUUCACGUAAUAUUCAUCCAUUAAGGGCCUCGUGUUCAUUACUGUGUUUGAUGAGUCGCUGUUGUAAUUUGCUCUUUCGUUCUCUUGGUCCCGUCCUCCAGAGGAAACCGCAUUCGUCAUUAAGCCACGAGCGUCUCGGAAGUGUUUUCAGAAGCGCCCGAAACCCAAUUCUCAUAAAGACAUUUUAAAAGAUAAUUCACAACUGCAGAGGAGAGACGAAGAAAAAAAAAACACGCCUUUGUAAUCAAAGACUGCCAAGAUAAUUGAAAUCAAUUAUCAUGUGCAUUUUAGCCAGAAAUAACUCCCAAACAAAUGUACAUACAUGUCUUUGUCACGAAGACACGUCCCUAUAGCUGCAUGCACAAAUCCCCCCUCUCUGCCUUAAAGGAGAGAAUGGGGCGACGCCUGACAUCCCUCACUGUGAAAGGACUGACUUUUGUUGAAAGGCAUUCCUUCCCCUCACAAUGGCAAGAGGUUCGAGGGGGAGGGGAGGGGAAUGGGGGGGGACACGACAGCGCCGACACAUUCCUGAGGUGGAGAGCCUCCCCUCACCUGACGAGACGUUUCUCUCUUCCAAUCUUCUCUCUGUGUGAUUUUUAUUGACGAGGACACCCAAAUACCUCAUGAGCUGCGAGCUCCACACCUCUGUGCUCUGUGUGGGCCAGAUAGCUGUGGACGGUGUUCGACUUGUUUCUGGAGGGGGGUAAUGUCUUGGACCACUGGAAGGUGACAGGUGAAAAACGAGCCUCUAAAAACACUGCGCUCGAAGGCAAAGCCCUGUGUCGGGCUCACUAACCAACAACCGCACUGAGAGACUUCGUCACUGGCUGCACUGUGGGGCCUCACGCUGAGAGCUGUUCUACGGAAGAGGAUUAGGGCCCGGCACAAGAAGAAGAAAAAUGAGGGCGAAGAUUUUUAUUUUUUAUUUAUGAGGGGGAAGAUUUUUUUUUUUUCUAUUUAAUAUUUCGACAAUAAAGUGGAAAUGUCGAGAAUAAAGUCGAAAUGUCGAGAUUAAAGUCGAAAUGUCGAGAAUAGAGUGGAAAUGUCGAGAAUAGAGUGGAAAUGUCGAGAAUAGAAGUGGAAAUGUCGAGAAUAAAAGUGGAAAUGUCGAGAAUAAAAGUCGAAAUGUCGAGAUUAAAGUGGAAAUAGCCCUAAACGUCCGUGUUGUGGUUCCAGCUUAGCGGUCACACAUCCACGUUAACUAGCGUUAGCGAAGCUACGCUAGCUCCGGUAACUGCGCGCCUCUCAAAAUUCAUCAACGGUUGUUUGCAAUUGAACGUCAUCGUGUCAGGACGCACGUUGACGUUCACGUGCAAACACACGUCUCCGCGUCGUGUCCUCCAGAUUCAGCCUGUCGAUUAUAAUAUUGCAACUUUACAACUUGGUUAGCAGCUAGCGUUAGCAUGGCAAACUGGCUAACAAAACAUCAACAUCCGGUUGUUUGGUGCGGCUGUAAAGUGCUUCCGGGUCACAAUUUUAGACGUUAUUCUCAAAGUAGUAUUUCAACUUUAUACUCGACAUUUCGACUUUAUUCUCAAAUUGUUAAAAAUACUUUUUU
ensembl:lncRNA